ensembl:lncRNA
AGGCUAGAGUACCACUAAAAUAAGCUGAAUCCCAGUGAAGGGAGUGCCAGGAAACCCUGGGAGCAAGGACAGGAGGACGUACAGCACACGAACUAAAAAGAAGAACAGCUCUCUAAGAACAGAGCCUGGCUUGGGUGGAGUUUGGCGGUGAGGAGGCUUGAUGGUGGUAGAAGAAAAUUCCGCAAGGUGCCUGAAGAAAAAAGCCUUCACCUGGGAUGGCGUUGGGGCUAGCCUAUUACUAAACGCCCUGCAGACUCAGUAACUUCCAGAGAAGUCUCCGCUGUGGCCCAGACCAAAGAAAAACAAGGGAGAAGAAACGCAAAAGAGCCAACAAAAGGAAGAGAGACAACAAAUCGAGGCCGACCUGAUGGAGUGGAAGAGUGAACCGGCCCUUGAGGUCGGAGGCCUAGGAUGCCCAGCGAGGGGGGCGUGGGGGGCGGGGGACUCGUCCUGAAGGGAGUUACCUUCAGCACAGCCCAGCUCCACCUGUGCCUGGACUUGAUUCCCCACCCCACCCCACUCCCCCCGCAGCACUUCCCCUAAGUGGCUCUAUCCCUUCUGCACAUGCUCUGUCUGCUCAUAGCUAGCAAUCUGGGAAAUGUUGCCUAGCCUUCAGAGGACAAAACCAGAAAGCGGGUUUGGUCUUUCGUGGCUGAGUCCUUGGCCCUUGCUGCUCCCAGGCAGCCCUCUCCCGAGCGCCCGAAUGACAGCCCCUGCACCCUCCACCCCACUUCGCACUCCUUGGCCUCCCAUUCGCAGGGCUGGGAUUUUCUGGCACAGCGGGACAAAGUCCGGGGGGCAGCCUGCGCUGCCGGAGACCAGCGGCAGGUGCGACCAGGUACUGAUAUGGAAUCCUGAACGUAAGAAAACUUGUUCUCGAAGGCUUGCUGGGUUAGCCAGAAGUGGACCAAGCCCUGAGAGGUAUUUAUUUAAGUUGCGGUGCGUUUCUGCCUUAGCUCGGGAGAUACUGGAAAGGAACUAAUGGAAGUUAAGGUAGAUGAAGGCAUUAAAAUGGUUAUUCCCCAAGCGGAGGCUACUUCCUAGUCUCCUGUUCAUCUUUUGAUUUAGGAGUAGGGAGAGGAGUAUGAGAAGCAAGAAAAACCAUGAUACCAACUCAGAAGUGCAGGGCGAGGAUGGAAGUGUCCAGAUUUAAUGACAGCGUACGGUUUCAUGCCAAGAUAGAGAAGACUCUGGGCUGGCCAGGAGGAAAUUGGCCCCUACUGUGGGUCACAGAUCGUCAUGAGUUAAGUUCCAGGUGCACAUGUCCCACAGCCCAGUCCACAUCUCCACUCAGAUAUCUUCCACUCAGAGGCAUUCCAAAUAUAGCAGGUCCAAAGUUCUUCCCAAAGCCCACCCCUGUCUCAAUCAGUGUCUGUUCUGUUUUCCCCAUUUCUCAGGCCAGAAACCAUAGUCUUAAUUAGCUCCUCUCUUUCUCUCAUGCUCCACAUUUAACCCAUUAGCAAUUUUCUAUGUUCUACCUUCCAGUUACACAGAGGGACACCUGGGUGGCUCCUUCGGUGAAGCAUCCAACUCUUGAUUUUGGCUCAGGUCAUUCUCAAGGUUGUGAGAUCGAGCCCCGUGUUGGGCUUUGUGCUGGGCAUGGAGCCUGCUUAAGAUCCUCUCUCUCCCUCUCCCUGUGCCACUCCCCACCCUUUCCCUCUCUAAAAAAAUAUAUAAAUAAAAAUACAUGGAGAAAUGAGCUACGUCUUACCAUCAGGCUGCUAUCACCCUAUAUCCGGCUGCCCUCAUGUCUUACUUACAUACAUUAUUGCAGAGGCCUUCCAGCUGGUCUCCUUGCCUCCAUCCUUGCUCCCCUCCUGUCUGCUCUUC